rnacentral:misc_RNA from 1 species
GAAAUGCGAUAAGUAAUGUGAAUUGCAGAAUUCAGUGAAUCAUCGAAUCUUUGAACGCACAUUGCGCCCGCCAGUAUUCUGGCGGGCGUGCCUGUCCGAGCGUCAUUUCAACCAUCAAGCCCCCGGGCUUGUGUUGGGGACCUGCGGCUGCCCGCAGGCCCUGAAAACCAGUGGCGGGCUCGCUGUCACACCGAGCGUAGUAGCAAUCACCUCGCUCAGGGCGUGCUGCGGGUUCCGGCCGUUAAACAGCCUUACAAAACCCAAGGUUGACCUCGGAUCAGGUAGGAAGACCCGCUGAACUUAAGC